CGUACACUCCUGCGGAAGGCAGCAGUGGGGAAUUUUACGCAAUGGGGGAAACCCUGACGUAGCGACACCGCGUGAGCGAAGAAGCCCUUUGGGGUGUAAAGCUCUGUCAGCUGGAACGAAAACAAUGACGGUACCAGCAGAGGAAGCAUCGGCUAACUACGUGCCAGCAGCCGCGGUAAGACGUAGGAUGCGAGCGUUGUCCGGAUUUAUUGGGCGUAAAGAGUUCGUAGGUGGUUUGUUAAGUUUGGUGUUAAAGAUCGGGGCUCAACCCUGGGACUGCACUGAAUACUGGCAGACUCGAGUGUGGUAGAGGCUAGUGGAAUUCCCAGUGUAGCGGUGAAAUGCGUAGAUAUUGGGAAGAACACCGGUGGCGUAGGCGACUAGCUGGGCCAUAACUGACGCUGAGGAACGAAAGCCAGGGGAGCGAAUGGGAUUAGAAACCCCAGUAGUCCCA
rnacentral:rRNA from 1 species